rnacentral:rRNA from 1 species
GUCAAGCUACAAAGAGUUUAUGAAGGAUGACUAGGUCAAAUGAGGCGAUGAAGGACGCGGUAAGCGGCGAUACGCUCGGAGGAGCUGCAAACAAGUUUUGAUUCCGAGAUUUCCGAAUGGGAAAACCCACUUUGAGUCAUAUCAAAGUAUUCUAUCCUGAAAUUAAAAAUAGGGAUAGAAAGCGAUACUCGGCGAAGUGAAACAUCUCAGUAGCCGGAGGAAAAGAAAACACAGUGAUUCCCUUAGUAGCGGCGAGCGAAGCGGGAAGAGCCCAAACCUUGGUGUUUACAUCAAGGGGUUGCGGGACCUCAAUAUGAGAGAUUAAGAGAUAGCAAAAGUGCAUGGAAAUGUACGCCAUAGAGAGUGAAAGCCUCGUAUGCGAAAUCUCAAGAUCCUCUAGAGGUAUCCCAAGUACUACGGAGCACGGGAAAUUCUGUAGGAAUCCAGGCCGACCAUGGCCUAAGGCUAAAUACUACAUUUGGACCAAUAGUGUACAAGUACCGUGAGGGAAAGUUGAAAAGAACCCCGGGAGGGGAGUGAAAUAGAACCUGAAAUCAUAAACUUACAAGCGGUUCGAGCUCUAUGAGUGUCGACUUGUUCGGCAUCACGAGUGAGAGCGUACCUUUUGUAUAAUGGACCGGCGAGUUAUUGUGUGAUGCAAGCUUAAGGUGUUAAGCACCGAAUGCGUAGCGAAAGCGAGUCUUAAUAGGGCGCCACAGUAUCAUAUAAUAGACCCGAAACUGAGUGAUCUACCCAUGGCCAGAGUGAAGUUCCGAGAAAUCGGAAUGGAGGCUCGAACCCGUCAAUGUUGAAAAAUUGUGGGAUGAGUUGUGGGUCGGAGUGAAAGGCUAAUCAAACUCAGUGAUUGCUGGUUCUCCCCGAAAUAGUUCUAGGACUAGCCUCGUAAAAUGGAUGAUGGGGGUAGAGUGCUGAAUGGGCUAAGGGCCUUACCAGGCUGCCAAACCCAACCAAACUCCGAAUACCAUCACACCUUAUUGCGGGAGUCAGACUACGAGGGAUAAGCCUCGUGGUCGCGAGGGAAACAGCCCAGACCGCCAGUUAAGGUCCCUAAAGAUAACCUAAGUGGGAAAGGAUGUGAAUUCACUAAGACAGUCAGGAUGUUGGCUCAGAGGCAGCCAUCAUUUAAAGAGUGCGUAACAGCUCACUGAUCGAGUGAUUUUGCGCCGAAGAUGAUCGGGGCUCAAGGUUAUUACCGAAACUGCGGCUUCAUUUUGAUAUUUAUCAAUUUGAGGGGUAGGGGAGCGUUCUGUUCUAGGUUGAAGGUGUACCGUGAGGAGCACUGGACGAAACAGAAGUGAUUAUGCCGGUAUAAGUAGCGAAAAUCACGGUGAGAAACCGUGACGCCGCAAAUCUAAGGUUUCCUGGGGAAGGUUAAUCCUCCCAGGGUUAGUCGAUCCUAAGUCGAGGCCGAAAGGCGUAGGCGAUGGACAAUCUGUUAAUAUUCAGAUACUGGCUAAAAAGCGUUUGACCUGAAAAAUUGACGCAGUAAGCUAAAUACGCGAAGUGUUGGAUGUCUUCGUUCGUGCCUGUACCUUGUAACGUGAGUUGCAAGCGAGGGGAGCGGGGAUCCUGCGCUACGGCAAAGGAGAAGGUAUCUAAGCUACACUGCCAAGAAAAUUUUUUUCAGGGAGCAAUUUAGUCAUUCGUACCGUAAUCCGACACAGGUAGAUUAUCAUAGUAUGAUAAGGCGCUCGAGUUAACUCUCGUUAAGGAACUCGGCAAUCUAGCCCUGUAACUUCGGGAGAAAGGGUGCCACCGACAGUGAAAAGAUUUACUCUUAGAGCUGUAGGUGGUCACAGUAAAGUGGCCCGUGUGACUGUUUAGCAAAAACAUAUCUCUCUGCAAAGUCGUAAGACGACGUAUAGGGAGUGACACCUGCCCGGUGCUGGAAGGUUAAGGCAAGGGGUUAUCCUGUUUUUAAGGAGAAGCUUCGAACCGAAGCCCUAGUAAACGGCGGCCGUAACUAUAACGGUCCUAAGGUAGCGAAAUUCCUUGUGGGGUAAGUUCCCACGCGCACGAAUGGUGUAACGACAUGGGCGCUGUCUCAACGAGAGACUCGGCGAAAUUGUAGUGGCGGUGAAGAUGCCGUCUACCCGCAACAAGACGAAAAGACCCCGGAACCUUUACUGUAUUCUGGUAUUGGAUUUUGGUCCAACCUGUGUAGUAUAGGUGGGAGGCUUUGAAGGUGCGACGCUAGUCGUGCCAGAGCCGCAAUGUGAAAUACCACCCUUAUUGUACUAAGAUUCUAACUGUGCGCCGUGAAGCCGGCCACACGACAGUGCCAGAUGGUCAGUUUGACUGGGGCGGUUCCCGUCUAAAGUGUAACGACGGGGCCCAAAGGUUCCUUCAGGCUGGUUGGCAAUCAGCCGUUGAGUGUAAAAGCAUAAGGGAGCUUGACUGCGAGUCCGACAGGACAAGCAGGUACGAAAGUAGGGUUUAGUGAUCCGGUGGUAGAAAAUGGGAUUGCCAUCGCUCAACGAAUAAUAGGUACUCCGGGGAUAACAGGCUUAUAGCGCUCGAGAGUUCAUAUCGACAGCGCUGUUUGGCACCUCGAUGUCGGCUCAUCCUAUCCUGGGGCUGUAUAAGGUCCCAAGGGUCCGGCUGUUCGCCGGUUAAAAGGGUACGCGAGCUGGGUUCAGAACGUCGUGAGACAGUUCGGUCUCUAUCUGUUGUGGGCGUUAAGAUACUUGAAGGGGAGCUCUUCCUAGUACGAGAGGACCGGGAGAGACGAACCUCUGGUGUGCCAGUUGUCCUGCCAAGGGCAAAGGCUGGGUAGCUACGUUCGGAAGGGAUAAGCGCUGAAGGCAUAUAAGCGCCAAGCCCACCUCAAGAAUAGGUAUCUCUCUUCGCUUCGGCGAAGUGAAGGCAGGCCGGAGACUACGGCCUUGAUAGGCUCUAUGUGUAAGGCCCGUAAUGGCUUUAGCUAAAGAGUACUAAUCAGCCAAUCGGCUUGACC